AACGAACGCUGGCGGCAUGCCUAACACAUGCAAGUCGAACGAGACCUUCGGGUCUAGUGGCGCACGGGUGCGUAACGCGUGGGAACCUGCCCUUAGGUUCGGAAUAACUCCCCGAAAGGGGUGCUAAUACCGGAUAAUGUCUUCGGACCAAAGAUUUAUCGCCUUUGGCUGGGCCCGCGUUGGCUUAGCUGGUUGGUAGGGUAAAAGCCUACCAAGGCGACGAUCCAUAGCUGGUCUGAGAGGAUGAUCAGCCGCACUGGGACUGCGACACGGCCCAGACUCCUACGCGAGGCAGCAGUAGGGAAUAUUGGACAAUGGGCGAAAGCCUGAUCCAGCAAUGCCGCGUGAGUGAUGAAGGCCUUAGGGUUGUAAAGCUCUUUUACCCGGGAUGAUAAUGACAGUACCGGGAGAAUAAGCACCGGCUAACUCCGUG
rnacentral:rRNA from 1 species